rnacentral:lncRNA from 1 species
GGAAAACCAGAAAAAGUGUCCUUGGAAAGAUAAGCAGAACAGAAGAGCAAGUCACAGUUGAGUUGGGAUGAAAAGCUGCAGAGGGUAGCAAAGGUGUAUGUGAAUGAGGAACUGCAAACCUUUUAAAAGGGACUCAGAAUACCCCCACUGAGCAUGAAGGUGGUGGUCUGGGGGGAUCCCUGCAUGUCGCCUCCCCCUCCUAAUGCUGCACGGGUGUUUGCCAGCCCCUUGAGACCUCAGCAAAGGCAGUGUGUGUGGCUGCUUGGGGCUGUGCGAGCCCAGGACACGUGCUGGCUGCUCAGCUUCUGCUGCCCUCACCUGCCCUUUGGCACCAGGAGUGGGAGGGGUGGCCAUGCUGCCAUUGGGGUGUGACUGAUUCCCACCGAAUGCUGGUGCUGGAAGGGGUUCCUGGGUCCUGCAGUUUAGGCACCACUGCUGCCUCUCAAGGCAGUAUCAUUCCUCUCAGUCCUCAGCCCUGAAACCCUCAGCAGUGGCACUGAUGGAGAGCUGAGACCUUCUUUUUUGAUCACCAACAAUACCUUUCCUGGCUCCUUUCUCCUGUUCCCCCACCCUCUGUAUGCAUGCACUGCCUUUCUGCUCCAUCUUCUCAUCCCUUUUGUAGCAUCCCUAGCGCUGCAAAGCUGGAGAUCGGGUCUGCUCCCAGGUGGAGAUGGCUCCUGCACACAGCUGCUGUUUUAAGGGUGAGCCCGCAGAGCUGGGCUGCAACAUGGAGCUGCAUUGAUGCCCACAGGGCUGGUUGGAGGGCUUAAGAAUCAAAGAGGAGUGCAGCAGGUCCUUCACCUGGAGCUGAGUUGUGUGUACACCUGCCUCUGUGGCUGAGAACCAUCCGUGUAGGAAACCAUUCUGCAGAGGGACAGAGGGAGACGGACAUGCAAAGCUCCCCCCAAGGCCGCUGUCUCCACUUGCCCUCAGAUCUGCUGUGGCUUUUGCUCCCUCCCAUCUGAGGCCGUGCACUGCUGCAGCAUUUAGCUGGAUCCUGGGUCACCUGCAAGAAGGAGGAGGACACUGCAGCUGAUGGGGCAGAGGCUCACAGCAGGGCUCCUUCCUACCUCCCAGACAAAGCCACAGAUGAAGGAGCUGAUGGCUGACGUGCACUGAGGAGACCUGCUCAGCUGCAGGAAUCAGCAAAGGAUUCUGCCUGACCAUGCAGGGCUCAGGGUCCCAUGGUGUGCACAGGGACAGCGGGGGGAGGUGGCAGCUGGGACCCCAUGUCCUCCUGGAUGCCAAGCAGAGGCUGGGGCUCCUCCAAACAACAUCUGAG